rnacentral:rRNA from 1 species
GACGAACGCUGGCGGCGUGCCUAACACAUGCAAGUGGAGCGACGAACCAGACUUCGGUCUGGGGCCAAGCCGCGAACGGGUGAGUAACACGUGGGUAACCUGCCCCGAUGAUCGGGACAACCCGGGGAAACCCGGGCUAAUACCGAAUGUGGUCGCGGUCCGUGAGGACUGUGACGAAAGGAAGCUUCGGCCUCCGCAUCGGGAUGGGCCCGCGGCCCAUUAGCUUGUCGGUGGGGUAAUGGCCUACCAAGGCAUCGAUGGGUAGCUGGUCUGAGAGGACGAUCAGCCACACUGGGACUGAGACACGGCCCAGACUCCUACGGGAGGCAGCAGUGGGGAAUCUUGCGCAAUGCGCGAAAGCGUGACGCAGCAACGCCGCGUGGGGGAAGAAGGCUCUCGGGUCGUAAACCCCUUUCAGUUGGGACGAAGCUUCGCCGGUGAAUAGCCGGCCGGAGUGACGGUACCUUCACAAGAAGCCCCGGCUAACUACGUGCCAGCAGCCGCCGUAAAAC